UUUGCUACUAAUUAUUAGAGUGUGAUUUAUACAUACAUCUUCCGUAUCAUUGGAGUGGGCUAAGAAAGAUUUUUCGUAGUAUUAGUGCAGAAUGUUUUCGAGGUUAAAUCUGUAUGGAGAUUAUAUUUGGAUUUGACAUGUUUGAAUAUUGUAAAUCGGCAUAUUUCUAUUAGUGGAUUAAAUUCUUAAGGCCAUAUAGUAUGCAAAUUGGUGGAGUAUUCUAAUUAUUUGAAUUUGUAUAUUUGGAUUGGGCUACUAAAUUUUUCUUAUAAUUGUUGGAGACCAUUGGAUGUGUUAACUUGAACUCAAGUCAAGGUUUAUAACCUAACUAGAAAUCUUUGUCAUUGUAAAAUACAAAAUUGAGUAGAAAUUUCGAUUUUGAGAUGCUUAUGUGAGUUAUCAUGGGUAGCAUUAAUCAUAGACAUUAAGAAUUUUGGUAAAGAAGGAUUUGGAAGUUGAUAGAGUUAAUUCCUACUCAUAGUGAUACUGGCUCAACAGUUCUAACCCAUUGAGUUUGAGGUAAAUUCUGUUGGAA
rnacentral:lncRNA from 1 species